rnacentral:rRNA from 1 species
UGGGGAAUCUUGGACAAUGGGGGCAACCCUGAUCCAGCCAUGCCGCGUGAGUGAUGAAGGCCUUAGGGUCGUAAAGCUCUUUCGCCUGUGAAGAUAAUGACGGUAGCAGGUAAAGAAACCCCGGCUAACUCCGUGCCAGCAGCCGCGGUAAUACGGAGGGGGUUAGCGUUGUUCGGAAUUACUGGGCGUAAAGCGCACGUAGGCGGACCAGAAAGUUGGGGGUGAAAUCCCGGGGGCUCAACCCCGGAACUGCCUCCAAAACUAUUGGUCUAGAGUUCGAGAGAGGUGAGUGGAAUUCCAAGUGUAGAGGUGAAAUUCGUAGAUAUUUGGAGGAACACCAGUGGCGAAGGCGGCUCACUGGCUCGAUACUGACGCUGAGGUGCGAAAGUGUGGGGAGCAAACAGGAUUAGAUACCCUGGUAGUCCACACCGUAAAACGAUGAAUGCCAGUCGUCGGGUAGCAUGCUAUUCGGUGACACACCUAACGGAUUAAGCAUUCCGGCCUGGGGAGUACGGUCGCAAGAUUAAAACCUCAAAUGGAAUU